rnacentral:rRNA from 1 species
UACGUAGGGGGCAAGCGUUGUCCGGAUUUAUUGGGCGUAAAGAGCGUGUAGGCGGCCAGGUAGGUCCGUUGUGAAAACUAGAGGCUCAACCUCUAGACGUCGAUGGAAACCAUCUGGCUAGAGUCCGGAAGAGGAGAGUGGAAUUCCUGGUGUAGCGGUGAAAUGCGCAGAUAUCAGGAAGAACACCCGUGGCGAAGGCGGCUCUCUGGGACGGUACUGACGCUGAGACGCGAAAGCGUGGGGAGCGAACAGG